UAAAGCCGUACAACCGUAUUGGUAGGGGGAAAACACUUCCCUAUUCCCUGAUCCCAACGAAAAUUAAUUUUGUAAACAAAUCGCGUCCCGAACUCAGGACUCAGGAGUCUGGUGAUUUGAGCGGUGAAGAGAGUUAAUCGAAUUAUCUACGAGAAUUUCUUACUGUCGACAACGACUACAACAAAGGAGCUAUACGCAUCAGAACCACGCAAUUGACAUUCGACGAUGUGCUCUCACCGAAGUUGCCGUGUCGCAUUCGGUUGAUUCUUGUAGACAAUCCGCUCGUGUCUCGAUAUUUGGUUAAUUAGCCGACAAUGGACGUACCUCAACCUCCGGAAGAUCAGGAAUUGCGCACGAUCAUCGACAAGUUGGCCGUGUUCGUCGCGCGCAACGGACCUGACUUUGAACAGAUGACCAAGACUAAACAAAAGGAUAACCCUAAGUUUGAGUUUCUGUUCGGCGGCCGUUACUUUGAUUACUACUUGCGUAAAGUGUCUACAGAACAAUCGAUAUUAAAUCAAAACAGUGUCAGAGAAAUAGCUCAAGCCGCAGUUGUAAAUAAUUCAGUUAGUACACAACAAUUAAACAUGGCAGCUGCAGCAGCACAAUGGUUAAAUUUAAACCAAACAAAUGAUUGUCAACCACCCGUAGUUACCAUGGAAUCCUUGAAUGCUCAACAAGCUAAUCUGCAGCAACAAAUUGCCCAGGCAGAACAAAAUUUUAACUCACAACUUAUGAUAUUAGCCCAACAGCAACAAGUGGCUACUGAAGAUAAAAUACUGUCAGAACAGCGAGAAUAUAUUAAUUCUGAAGCUGCAGCUAAUGAUUUAUCACUGGUUGAAUUGUCGUCUGUACUCGAACCAAUUAUUAAAGGAUGUACUAAAGAUGCAAUAGCGAAUGGUAAAUCAUGGAUUAUGAAACAAACAGCUAGUGAACGAAAAGUUGAUGUAAUCACCCAAUAUUUACUUAUGGAAGUAAUGGAUCCAAAUGCAGAAUUUUCAAAACAAUUACAUUUAAUAUAUUUAGUAAAUGAUACUGUUCAUCACUGUAUUCGCAAGUCAGAAAAAAUACUGAAAACAUCACUUGAAUCGAUUAUUGUUCCAAUGUUUUGCUCAGCGAUGAUGAGAGCAAAUGAAGAUCAAAAAUCUAAACUGAGCAAACUGCUAACUUUGUGGGAAACAAAAAAUCAUUAUUUUCCUGAAACUAUAAUGGAGCGAUUGAAAAAUCCUGAUAGAUCAAUGGUAGAAUACAAGAGCAACUUGUUGGAAAAGUAUAGGGAUGCUGUCAAUCAACUCAACAUGAUUAUGAACAGUACAUUACAAAAUUACCGUAGCCAACAUCAAUCAUUUUUAGCACAUUGUAACAAUCAGAUACAGAGUAUAGAAAACCAAAAACGUUCGCUAGAACAACAAAAACAAAGGGUAACUCCUCUUUCAAUUCCUCCAGCUCAAGACGACACAAAUCGACAGCAUUUUAAUGAAGGUCGUUUACCUUCUCCUCCUUCAUACCAGAAUAAUAUGUCUGGAUAUAUGCAAGCUGACCAGCAAAAUUAUCCUCACCAAACAGAUAAUGGAUAUCAGCAAGAUGAUCACUAUGGACAGCCAAUGCAAAAUUGUAUGCAACAACCUCCCUCUAUGUAUAAUAGACCUCCACCACCAUUUAAUCAACCUCCGCCCAAUAUACAUUUGCAACCUCCGCCUUCAAUGGAGUUACCUGAUCUAAGUCGACCACCUCCAAAUUUUAUACAAAAUAACUUUCCUUUACCACCAGUUCAGCCAGAUAUUACACCAGAUGAUUUACUUCCUUCACUGCCAUACUAUGAACUUCCAGCUGGCCUUAUGGUGCCAUUAGUUAAAUUGGAAGAUAGCAAUUAUAAACCUUUAGACCCAGAUACAAUCAGAUUACCACCACCAGCUCCACCUACUGAUCGUCUAUUAGAUGCAGUCAAAGCCUUUUACAUGCCUCCUGGACAUUUCGCUCCACGUGAUAGUGAUGGUUGGGAAAAACUUGGUCUAUAUGAAUACUACAAAGCCAAACAUUCUGCAAAAAAACAAAAAGAAGAUGAUAUUGCCGAUAAUAUAAGAGCAAGAUCAAAAUCGCCAUCUCCUAUUAUAUUACCUUCACUGAAAGAUAAAUCGCCAGUUCGAAAAAAGCGUUACAGAAGUCGUAGUCGAAGCCCAAAACCACGCAGUCCAUUAAGACGAGUUAUAAGUAAAAAAAACAGUCCACCGCCAACACCAAAUCGUAGUCGUCGAAGACGUUCUCCAUCUAGAUCACCAACACCUUCUCCACCAUCAUCUCAACGAAGUCCUACACCACCUUCAUUUGGGGGAGCUAGUUUUGGUAAAACUGCCCAGGAACGCUUAGAUGAAUCAAAUAAAGGUCAUCAGCUUCUGAAAAAAAUGGGUUGGAGUGGUGCUGGAUUGGGUUCAAAAGAGCAAGGUAUCGACACACCAAUCAGCGGUGGUGACGUAAGUAAAAAGAUGAUUGAAAAAUGUUUUGUAGUAAAUAUUGUAUUAUAUUUUUUAUUGUUAUUGACAAAUGGUACUUUAUAUUAUAUAAAAUUAUAUUGAUCUGUCGCUUUGUUGGUCGUCAUUAUAAAUUAGGUCCGAGAUAGGACUGAUCAAUAUAAGGGUGUGGGAAUCAGUUUGAAUGAUCCAUACGAGAACUUCAGAAAAAACAAAGGCAAGGCGUUCAUACAUAGGAUGCGUACGAGGGCAGAAGAACGAAUGGAAGGCAAUGCGUGAACAAUGUGCAGUUUAUAUUAUUUGUUAUUGGUAAAUGUUAUUUGGUAAAACGCCUUUAUAUCUGUAGAGAUUUGGCUAAAGCUCGUUGUAUUGCGAAUACAUAUAUAUAUUUUUAGUAAUAACAUUUUAGCAUACGGACAGAAAAACACCGUAAAGAACAACAUUCAGAAAUUAUCUACUACUUUGUGAAUAUUAUUAUUUGCUAUAUCUUCUAUUUUAUUUAUAACAAAACCAAUAAACUAAAAAAAAAAUUA
rnacentral:misc_RNA from 1 species